rnacentral:lncRNA from 1 species
AAGGAAGGCCAUGAUUUCAGCUCUCUGGGAUUUGAGACAAAGAGGCCCCUUUUCUUUCAUUUUAUCUUUUCAUGUCUCUUCUUGCCAUGUACCCACAUGAUUGAGUGUGGGCUGAGGGUGAAUCCAAGAAGGGCUUUGUUUUGUGGUCAGUACAGGCUUUGGUCCACAGAGACAACAAUACUUUCAAUACUCUUUUGUUCUGCCCCAGAGGAGCUCAACACAGAAUUGCCUAGAACAAGAAACUGGUGAGAGAAGCUGCAGCCUGUUGAGACUCCACAAGACUGAAGAUAUGAAAAGAGGAAAUAUGCAUGAAUGCCCGCACGGAGAACCACCCCCACCUGCUGCUCCCGCUCUAAUGAUCACGCCCAUUAUCAACUGGGGGAUGGCUCUGUGCCUUGUCCUUGCAUUACAUGGACCAAGAACACUUCACAGGACUCAGAGAGGAACCCGAAAGGAAGAAGCUAUACGACUGGGGACACAUGUCUUAGAAGCACACUCAUUAGAUAAAGUGUCGCAUACUCUUUGAUAAGACAACCCUUACAAGAUUUUUGCCCAGCGAAAGUGGCACGUGGAACAUGGAAUGACAUUUCAUAAAGAUAAAUCCAGAGAUUAGUGCUGAAGACUACACCCCUGUGUAGUCCCACACAGGCUACCCCAGACCAGCCUGGCGGGCUCUGCACUAGGCCUCCCAUCAGGCGAGAGCCAACGCUCCUCAGCCCGGCUCCACCUCAUUCAGAAGAAAGUGUGUCUCCCGG